GACGAACGCUGGCGGCGUGCUUAACACAUGCGAGUCGAACGGAAAGGCCCUGCUUUUGUGGGGUGCUCGAGUGGCGAACGGGUGAGUAACACGUGAGUAACCUGCCCUUGACUUUGGGAUAACUUCAGGUAACUGGGGCUAAUACCGGAUAGGAGCUCCUGCUGCAUGGUGGGGGUUGGAAAGUUUCGGCGGUUGGGGAUGGACUCGCGGCUUAUCAGCUUGUUGGUGGGGUAGUGGCUUACCAAGGCUUUGACGGGUAGCCGGCCUGAGAGGGUGACCGGGCACAUUGGGACUGCGGUACGGCCCAGACUCCUACAGGAGGCAACGGUGGGGAAUAUUGCCCAGUGGGCGGAAGCCUGUUGCGGCAACGCCGCGUGCGGGAAGACGGCCUUCGGGCUGUAAACCGCUUUCGCCUGUGACGAAGCGUGAGUGACGGUAAUGGGUAAAGAAGCACCGGCUAACUACGUG
rnacentral:rRNA from 1 species